rnacentral:misc_RNA from 1 species
AAGUCGUAACAAGGUUUCCGUAGGUGAACCUGCGGAAGGAUCAUUAUAAAAUUUUCGUAUAUUUAUUUUUUAAAUAUAUAAAAUUACACAAAAAUGUAUUCAAAACCCACACUCUUGUAACCAUUUAUAAAAAAAACAUUAUAUCUCGCAUAUAAUAUUAAUUAAAAACAACUUUCAACAACGGAUCUCUUGGCUCUC